AUUGAACGCUGGCGGCAGGCCUAACACAUGCAAGUCGAACGAGUGGCGGACGGGUGAGUAAUGUCUGGGAAACUGCCUGAUGGAGGGGGAUAACUACUGGAAACGGUAGCUAAUACCGCAUACCAUCGGAUGUGCCCAGAUGGGAUUAGCUAGUAGGUGGGGUAACGGCUCACCUAGGCGACGAUCCCUAGCUGGUCUGAGAGGAUGACCAGCCAGCAUGGAACUGAGACACGCUCCAGACUGCUACGGGAGGCGGCAGUAGGGAUUAUUGCACAAGUGGCGCAAGCCUGAUGCAGCCAUGCCGCGUGUAUGAAGAAGGCCUUCGGGUUGUAAAGGACUUUCAGCGGGGAGGCGUUACCCGCAGAAGAAGCACCGGCUAACUCCGUGCCAGAAGACGCGGUAAUAC
rnacentral:rRNA from 1 species